ACAAAUUUCCCUUCUCCAUCGAACCUUCAAAGAUUCUUCCUUGAUAUUUAUCAUAUUCGCAACAUUAUCAACAAUCUUUCAUAACACACGUCACAUUGAUUGAAUUUAUUCGAAUAACCUACGAAACGGCGGGUUCAAGAGGUUAUGGUCUCAAUGCCAGCGAAUCACGAUUGACCUUAAGCCGGUAUCGCAUUGCGCCGAUUCUUUCCACAUCGUUCGAAUUACACGCACGGUAGGUAAGAGUAGGUAAGAGACACGAGGAGAGGAGAUGGGCGGGUGUAAGUGCAUGCACCCAACCGACUCUUCGCGAGAUUCUAGGGAAGAUACACGGGGUCAUGGGUGGCCGGUGAAAAUGUCACGCUAGUUGAUACAGACUUUGAACGUUCCUGUACCCACGUUCGAUCACCUUUCAAACGAUCCUCGAACAAGUCGAUUUCAAGUACGAGACGCUUUCAAGGAACAAACUGUGGAGAAUACUGUGUUUCGUGUCGCCAAUGAAAAACAUUUCUGAAACUGGUAAACUUGCACCGCUUGGUUAAGGAAGCAAGAUCUUUAUUGAAAUUUUAGAAAAAGUAUGCCAGUCAUAAGGAUAAAAGACAUAGACGCGAUCUAAUUUUGAGAUUUUGAGGUUAUCUAACAAAUUUGUUGAAAGUUCUUUCUGUAUCUUGAUACAGAAUGUGUCGUACGUUUGACGAAAUCCACUUAUAUAUUCCACGUCUGUAAUUCGUGCGUGGAACAGUUAAGUAUACUUUCUACUCGCAACGAAUUCUUCCGUUCUAUUCUGAAUCACACUAUUGUUCCUCGAUAUUUAAGAAAUCUUAAACGUUAUGAGUCACACAAUUACUCAGCAUUCGUAAGAAUCGAACGAAAUGUCACAUGAUUCCCGAUCUUACUUACAAAUUUAUAUUUCUCGUGGAAAGAAAUAUGGAGAAAUAAUGCUGUAUAUUUCCAACUUACCGGAAUUUGUACAUCAGUAAUUCGGUUAUGAAACACUUGACGAUGGAAACUGAUGGAAUCUUUUUAAAUCUUUAAAUCUCCGAAAAUUUUUAAAAUCUCGAAAUUUCCAAAAUAAUUUCAAAGAUGAAGAAAAAUAAUUUUGAUGAAUCUCAUCUAUAAUAAUGUAAAGCAUAAGAUAAAUAUUACGCAAAUAUAAAAAACAAAAAUAAACCACAAAGUGAAACGAUAUCUCGAGAAGGAAAUUGCGAAAGUAUCAAGAUAUAAUGCGUAUAAUGAUCUGAGCGCAGAAAUCAAAGGGACAAACGUGUCUUAUCCUUUUGCGAUAAUUGUCAGCAAGUUUGGGGCAAAAAAAUACCGCUAUACCUCAUAUAUGGUUGACACGUUUGUAUUAAUAAUACAUAUCUGGAGUAUAUAGCAACAGCAGCGCAGAAAGAAGCGAUAUCGUGUAAGAUCGAUGAUAUAAUUUCCCGCAGAAGAGGAAAGUGAGGGUCUCGGGUAACUCGCACGAGUCGAGUUGUUGGCCAGAAAUUCAUUAGGAAUGCACGGCACGCAGCAAGAAACUGUUCGGUUCGAUCGUUACAUAAAUAAUUACGAUUGCAAUUAAGAUUACCACUACGAGAUGUUUUUUCAAUGAUGGAUUCGAAGCGAAAAUAUCGAGUUGAUUGAUUAUUGUUUUUAAAAAAAUAGAGCUUAAACGAAGUGGAAUUAACUCAUCGUUUUUUAACUCUAAUUAAUUCUUUCUUAUAUUAAUUUUCGUAUUCGAUCCAUUUCUAUUAUUUUUAUAGAAAUUCUUGAGAUACUUUGAGAACGAAUUAUUCAAUUUUAUUUUUAACAAAUUUUCGAAGCCUUCUAAAUCCUCAAUGUGGAAAUAUUUCUCAAAUUCUUUUUUUAAAAACAACUUAACUAAUCACUUUCAGAGAACGGCAGCGACUAAACUAAACAAAAAACAUUCAAAGUGAAAAGAAAAAUCAAAAUAUAACAGAUACAACAAAAUUACCCAUUCGGUCUGUCGGGAUAGCUUUCCUGUUCAGGCAUUCUCGACGUUCUGAAGUUCUCUUGCUCCUUUUCCACGGUUGCUCGUUGCUGUUGCUGCU